GUCUACGGCCAUACCACCCUGAACGCGCCCGAUCUCGUCUGAUCUCGGAAGAACUGCUCAGGGAUGGUGGAAUGUACAGCAUUCCUGUAUCUU
rnacentral:rRNA from 1 species